rnacentral:rRNA from 1 species
AACGAACGCUGGCGGCAGGCCUAACACAUGCAAGUCGAACGCCGUAGCAAUACGGAGUGGCAGACGGGUGAGUAACGCGUGGGAACAUACCCUUCGGUUCGGAACAACUCAGGGAAACUUGAGCUAAUACCGGAUACGUGCGAGAGCAGAAAGAUUCAUCGCCGAAGGAUUGGCCCGCGUUCGAUUAGCUAGUUGGUGAGGUAACGGCUCACCAAGGCGACGAUCGAUAGCUGGUCUGAGAGGAUGAUCAGCCACAUUGGGACUGAGACACGGCCCAAACUCCUACGGGAGGCAGCAGUGGGGAAUAUUGGACAAUGGGCGCAAGCCUGAUCCAGCCAUGCCGCGUGAGUGAUGAAGGCCCUAGGGUUGUAAAGCUCUUUCGUCAGGGACGAUAAUGACGGUACCUGAAGAAGAAGCCCCGGCUAAC